AUUGAACGCUGGCGGCAUGCCUUACACAUGCAAGUCGAACGGCAGCAUGGAGAGCUUGCUCUCUGAUGGCGAGUGGCGAACGGGUGAGUAAUGCAUCGGAACGUACCGUGUAAUGGGGGAUAACGUAGCGAAAGUUACGCUAAUACCGCAUACGACCUGAGGGUGACAGCAGGGGAUCGCAAGACCUUGCGUUAUACGAGCGGCCGAUGUCAGAUUAGCUAGUUGGUGAGGUGAAGGCUCACCAAGGCGACGAUCUGUAGCGGGUCUGCGAGGAUGAUCCGCCACACUGGGACUGAGACACGGCCCAGACUCCUACGGGAGGCAGCAGUGGGGAAUUUUGGACAAUGGGGGCAACCCUGAUCCAGCCAUGCCGCGCGAGUGAAGAAGGCCUUCGGGUUGUAAAGCUCUUUCGGCCGGGAAGAAAUCGCACAGGCUAAUACUCUGUGUGGAUGACGGUACCGGCAUAAGAAGCACCGGCUAACUACGUGCCAGCAGCCGCCGUAA
rnacentral:rRNA from 1 species